rnacentral:rRNA from 1 species
UACGUAGGGGGCGAGCGUUGUCCGGAUUUAUUGGGCGUAAAGAGCUCGUGGGCGGUUCGAUAAGUCGGACGUGAAAUCUCCACGCUCAACGUGGAGGGGCCGUUCGAUACUGUCGUGACUCGAGUCCGGUAGGGGAGUGUGGAAUUCCCGGUGUAGCGGUGAAAUGCGUAGAUAUUGGGAGGAACACCAGUGGCGAAGGCGGCUCACUGGACCGGAACUGACGCUGAGGCGCGAAAGCGUGGGGAGCAAACAGG